UGACUAGUCAUGUACUGUACUUCAGGGCAAACAAUAAGGUUGUUGUUCGGAUGGGAAAGCAAGCAAUUUGUUGGAAGGCAAAAAGGUGAAAACAUUCUAUAAGCUGGUUCUGUUUGGGAAGGCUGCACGUCAUUUUCCAGCACUCAAGCAUUGGGGGUUUGUGGCUGGGAAUCCUGCAAAGGUGAGAACACUUCAAUGAGUUCAUAAGACCUCAGACUGUGAAGAACAAAGCUGCUGAAGGUCUGGAAAACAAGGAGGCUGUGUGGUCUGGAGAAAAAGGACCUUGGACCUUGGACCUCCUCCCAGGGCUGCUGCUAACCACACAUGUGACCUUGGGCUCCUUAUUUAACCUCUUGAGGAUAAGGAAAAUUUUACAUUUUACCAGUUCCAGAAGGACUCGCAAGUUGAAAUCCAAGUGAAUUGGUACCAGAGAUCCAAUUUAUCACUGUGAUAACAAUAUCACCCAUGGGUUGGUAAUUAGGAGUGAAGGCAGCAUAUCAUCAAGCAACAUCCCUGAUAGAAACACGAGAUGCUGCUUCCGGAUCCCCAGCAAUAUCAUCCCAAGCACUUCAGCUUUGCUGAGAGCACUUCCUGCAUUCGGUGAAUUGUGGAGCUUACAUGCCUGCUUAUUGACAGCCUGUGGUCCAGGACUUCUUCCACUUUGCUAUUGUCCCAUUGCUGAGUUCAGGGUAGGGAAAGGCAGACUCCUCCCCCCUCUGGCAUGACAGUGUUAUCAUAGCAACUAGGUACCUGACACAGAAGUCUUAAUGAUUUAGUUUGGUCUGAUUCUUUUAUUAUGGCCACUCCCAUUUCACUCGUUUCCAUUUCUUACAGUCACUUUCUUUGGGAAUGCAGGUUAGCUUCCCUUGAAGGUAGUUCUAAAGACGUGGGUAAAAUAUAUGUGAUUAAAAAUAUACAAUUGGACACAUAAAACUUUCUUUACUGCCUAAAAUCCCUAGUCUCUUGAUCUCUCCUGAAUCUAGAAUGUAAGCUCUAGGGUAGCAAGGAUGGGGAAGGAUAUCAACUGACUGAAAAAACUUACCCAGCAACCAAUUUGCUGAAAGUCCACUUGGCUGCCAUUUGCACAUGAACACUGACCACUCAAGAAAUAACCAGGGCCCUUAAGGGGAGAAAACCACUUUUGUUUUCUCUGGUUUCAUCUGUGAAUCACUACUGAAUCAAAGCAAUGUAGUUUUACUUUAUUUUUCACAAAGUAUAAGUGAUACCAUCAUUGUCUUUUUUACUUAUUUUCCACUGUGAUGUAAUCCAUAUGUCAUUUUUAAAAGAGCACUAAUUAAGUAAAUAAAUAACAAGUCGUUUUUAGGAGUGGUAAGGAAAAGUCAAUAUUCCAAAGUCAAGAAGCAAUAGGAUAAUACAAUAAAUCACACACACAUACACAAUCUUAAAUUGAAUCCAUUGCAUUUCUAUGCAUUUUUUUUCAGAAUAUGGAAGUAUUUAUGAUGUAAUGUUACAUGAAAAAAAGAUAACUUUAAAAAUAUCGGUAUAUCAAGUAGUAACUACAGGAGAAUAAUAUGGAAAGGGUCAUUGUAUUGCCUUGGGCUUUUUUUCUUUACAAUUCUUGUUUUGUUGGUUUGAGCGUCUUCUAAUGGUAUUAUUUUCUAAAUGUCAUGGUUGCAGGCAGAAGUAAAGUUCUGGAGGCAGGGAAGUCUAAGAUCAAGGUACCUGCAGAUUGGGUUUCUGAAGAGGGCCUGCUUCCUGAUUCAUAGAUGGUUGGCUUUUCUAUGUAUUUUUAAUAGUUGACAAUACAGUUCUUUUGCAUGUAGAUUUGUUUAGUAGUUUAUAUUUUAUAUUCAUGAACUCUUCUCAUUUACCAUUUUAGAUGUAAAUGGGAAGUCAUAUUAGUCAGCAGUGCUGAGGUUACAGAUGGUCCCCAUAUCUCAGUGGCUUACAACCGCAGACAUUUAUGCCUUGCUCACAUUUCAUGUCAACUGAUUUGGUGUUGCUCCAUGUGUCUUCUCAAUCUGGGACCAAGGCUAAAGAGGAAAUCCUCUUUGGGCCUUGCCAUUCUCAUGGAAGAUGAAAGAGAAUAAAAGCUAACUGUGCAGUGGCUCCAAUGCUUCUGUUUAACCAUCAGGACAGUUUACAUGCCAUUGAAUAAAACAAGUCACUUGACUUUGUCCAACAUCAAGAGGGGCAGGAAAGGAGAUUAGCCUUGGAAGAAACUGUCAGAGUGUCUUCCAGCAUGCUUAUACCAUUUUGCAUUCACAUCACUAGUGAAUGAGAGUUCCUGUUGCUCCACAAUCUUGCCAGUAAUUGAUUUUAUCAGUUUUUUGGAUUUUAGCCAUCCAAAUAAGUGUGUAGUGGCUCUCAUUGUUAUUUUUAUUUGUAUUUUCCUGGUUGUCAUUUUUAGAAUCAAUCUACCAUAUCCUACCUAGCAAUUGUUAGUGAAAAGUAAUUUUUGAUGAAUACAUAAUUUGAAUGAGCAAUCUUUCUGCAAGAUAGUUUUUCAAUAGGCUUUCAGAAAAUGGGAUUUUCAUCAUGUGGCUGUUGACUAAUUUGGGGCACAUCUAAGGUCUUAGGCGUCAAAUUUAUGUUGUUUACUUUCAUAACCUCAGCACCUGACUCAUUUUCGGUGCUCAAUAAAUACUCUUUCUAGGAAUGAAUGAAUAAGCUUCAAUGUAUCCCUAUUCAUCUCGGAGGCAAGCCUUCUAAGAUUAGAAGUAGCCUUUUUUUUUUUUUUUCCUUAUUCUGGAUUCUCAAUGGAAAGGUAGCCUUACCUGUUCUUUGUUCUCUCCAUGGAGACUAUUGGGCCCUCUUUCAUUAAUUCUAGCUCUAAUUCUAAUAUUCUGCAAAAAAAUAUGUUUAAAAAUCAGAAUAUCAAUUAAUGUGCCAAGAGACCCAAGAUGGUAUAGAAAUGCUUGGGAAUACUGCUCUGUUUCUAAGGGUUUUUCCCUCUUAUUCCUGUUCCCCCUUUUUCCCAGUCCUUGAUGGCAACACUUGGAAAAAUUGGAAAGUACAAUAAAAUGUUUACUUAAUACCUAACCCCUCUUAGUCUCCCUUAGCUAAUAUAACAAUAAUAACAUAUUAAUGUAUAGAUUUAUUUCUGGAAGUCUACGUGAGAAAUCCAACUCUGGGGAAGGGGAGUGGAUGACUAGAAACAAGUCUUUAGUCUUCAGGUAUAAUCUUUGGUAUCCUUUUUUUUUCUCCGUAUGCUUAAAAAUACAAAUAUCUCACAUGUAUUUUCAUGCUUCUCAUUGUUCAAGCCUGAAAAUACAUACUUCUGUAUUAAGUUCAUUUCACCAUUGUAGCCACAUGCACAGCUGACCUGAAUGUUUUUAUUGAAGUGAAUCAUUCAUUUGCCCCAUAAACCACUAUUAAAUUUGAUUAAGAAAUCGGUCAUUUUCAAUCAUCUAUUUCAAUAAUUGCCCAUUUUAAAAUAAGUGUUUGAAUCAGCUUGGUCUAAUUUAACUGCACUGUCCACACAAGUAGAGGUAUUUUAAACAAACAAGCAAUAAACUAUCAAUAACAAUAACAAAAGAGUUUGUAAAAAUAGACUCUCUAAGGGAAAAUUAUUUUGAUUAAUUCUUCUCUGUGCAAAAAAAAUCUGUUAAUUUUUCAUUAUGAAAUUGUUUUAAGUUUCCACCACUACAGAAUUACAUAGGAACGGAAACCACAAGCUUCGCUGGCGCACCUCGUUUUCUUGAAGAAUCCAGGGUGCCUUUCUUGUCUUUCCCUUACUAGCUCAGGCUCAAAAGACAAGACUCACUCCCUGAACGUCAGUUUCUCAAUUUAAAAAUGAAAACCAGAGGACCUGUUUCAUUUCUUUCUAAAUGGGGUAAAAUUGGACUCAGAUAUCAAUCAAUGAAUGAAACAGGUACCACUUGGAGAGUUGAAAUACCUUGUCUAAUUUUUAUUGUGGCAAAACAAGUAAUAUGAGGAGAAAAGGACGUUUUCCAUGGCUUACUGAUGUCAGUGCACAGGCGGCGUAUUCAAUCUGAUGGCUAUUAAGGCAGACAACUCUGGGUAGCCUGAAUUGGAUAAACUCUGGGCAAAUUUUUAAUCACUAUGCUGUGGUUUGACUAAAGGAGACUGUAAAUCCUUUAGCCUGGGGCUCAAUGGGAUCACGCUCACCACCGCUCUGAGAGUGGGUCUGCUGUCUAAGGAGAACGAUGAUCAGUGUUUCCCAGACCCAUCAGUCUAGCACGAAAUCCACCAGCCCUAUGAAAACCGUAUAAAUCACUGCAAACUGUAUGCCCAGAGUGUGCUAUUUAAUUUGCUACUUUAACAAUCAGCAUUUUCCAUUACACUUGAUGUCUCACCCCAUUUUAUUCCACAAAGCGAUGCUUUGUUGUUAAACAUUGGUUUAUUUCAGGUGGAGGAGUUAGUUCACACAAGUUUGGAGGACACACUUUUAUUUCUUUUAAAUUUAGAAAAAUAGAUUCAGGUUACUGUGGUCUAUUGUUUAUUAUACCCAAUAUUCUGGCCUUUCUUACAAAAAUUGUAAAUCUCUGCUUGCUGCCAAUGCUGCCAUGUGAAUUGCAGUGACUUCCCUUGGAAUCUGACUUUUCUAGAUCAAUGACACCACUUUGCUCAUGUGACUUGCUUCACCAGUGGAAUGUGAGUAAAAUAACACAUGCCUUGUCUGAAGGUUCAAGAGACUUAUUUGAUUCAACCAUCACCGUCUUGCUUCUGCUAUGAGGAGGAUGUGUCCCAAAGAAAAGCUGCUUCUACCCCAGAUUCUGGUAAGAAGAAUGUAUGUACAGCAGUAUCACAGUCAAUAUGCAGCUGCCACAGCCCAACUAUAAGGCAAAUGAGAAACAAAGCUUUGUAAACCUUUGAAGCCACAAGUCACUGGGUUUUGGAAGCUGUUGGUCAUUGUAGUAUAAAUGUAGUAAAUACUGGCUUAUACAUUUAGCUAGGAUUCUGAACACAGUGAGAAAAAUUAUCUUAGGAACUUAGCCAAAAUCUUUCCCUAGCCAGAUUUCUUUUUCUUUUUUUAUUACAAAUAUACAAGAUAUUUCCACCUUCUGGAAAUUACUCCUUUAAAAACUAAUAUUUAUAGCACAUAAACUGGAUGCUUUAUUUUUUUAUAGAUACCCAGUCUGUGUCUUAUACUAUAUCAAGUCCUUAUAAAUAUCCUUGAAGUCUUCAGACUGGUCUAAUGAGAAAUUACUUUAGGGCUCUAUGUUAUAGAGAAGGAAAUCGGAGGUCAGAGGUCGACAUUACAUAGGUCACAACAACACAAUCAGGAUUUCAACUCAUGCUGCAGCCCUCAUUCAUGCUAUUUUUUAUCACCUCAGUUGCUUAAUCAUCCUUCAAAUUAAAUGGUCGUCUUGAAAAAGCAGAAAGAAUAGGAGAGAAAGAUAUGCGACUCAACAGAGAAGACAGUUAUUCAACCAGAACAACCACAUGCCUUCCCCAGAGUUUCACUUGAGGGAUAAAUUGAUCUUUAAAAGGUUUUCUCAACCCCAGCACCUAGGUAGUAUAUUAUCUUUUCUCUCUCUUUACCUUAGACAUGAAAGCACUUCCAUGUUCCAGUGUAACCAUGCAGAUUUCAAGGAUACAAUUUAGAAAACUGUAGACAAAAGUUUUUAGCAGGAUGGGAUUUCCUUUUCUUUCUUUUUUUUUUUUUUUGUUUUUCUUUUACAUGAAAGAAAUUUUAUUUUUUUAUGUGUGUUUUUGUUGAAGUGUAAUUGCUGUACAAUAUUAAAUCAUUUACAGGUGUUCAUUAUAGUGGUUCACAAUUUUUAAAGGCUAUACUCUAUUUACAGUUAUUAUAAAACAUUGGCUAUAUUCUCCGGGCUGUACAAUAUAUCCUUGUAGUUUAUUUUAUACCCAAUCGUUUGUAUCUCUUCAUCGCCUACUCCUAUUUUGCCCUUCCCAUUUGCAUUUCUUUUACUGCUAAUAACAAAAGUGAUUUGUGAGUUUGUGUGCAUGUGCGUGUGUGUAUGUGGUAGAUUAUUUGAAAAAUGUGCAAAGCCUUUAAGAAUA